rnacentral:tRNA from 1 species
UCCCUGGUGGCUCAGAUGGUAAAGAAUCUGCCUGCAAUGCAGAAGACCUGGGUUUGAUCCCUGGGUCGGGAA